GGAGGACCACGGGGGGCCAGCAGGUUGGAGGGGAUAGCCUGGGCUGGGGAGGGGGGUGGAGGACCACGGGGGGCCAGUAGGUUGGAGGGGAUAGCCUGGGCUGGGGAGGGGGGUGGAGGACCACGGAGGGCCAGCAGGUUGGAGGGGAUAGCCUGGGCUGGGGAGGGGGGUGGAGGACCACGGGGGGCCAGCAGGUUGGAGGGGAUAGCCUGGGCUGGGGAGGGGGGUGGAGGACCACGGAGGGCCAGCAGGUUGGAGGGGAUAGCCUGGGCUGGGGAGGAGACCACCUGCUGCUCCACUCCUCCCUGGGAGGGUAGAGACUCCACUGCAGCCAUGACUGGGACUGGAGGAGCCACCAUGGUCAUGUGACCCUCUGCUUUAGGCUUCACUCUGACAGG